AAUGAACGCUGGCGGCAGGCCUAACACAUGCAAGUCGAGCGGAGCGGCGGACGGGUGAGUAAUGCCUAGGAAUCUGUCUGGUAGUGGGGGAUAACGUCCGGAAACGGGCGCUAAUACAGCAUCCUAUCAGAUUAGCCCUGGUCGGAUUUGCUAGUUGGUGGGGUAAAGGCCUACCAAGGCGACGCUCCGUAACUGGUCUGAGAGGAUGAUAAGUCACACUGGAACUGAGACACGGUCCAGACUCCUACGGGAGGCAGCAGUGGGGAAUAUUGGCAAAUGGGCGAAAGCCUGAUCCAGCCAUGCCGCGUGUGUGAAGAAGGUCUUCGGAUUGUAAAGCACUUUAAGUUGGGAGGCGUUACCAACAGAAUAAGCACCGGCUAACUUCGUGCCAGCAGCCGCGGUAAUAC
rnacentral:rRNA from 1 species